GGUAAAGGAUGCCGAUAAGUAGAUAGAUCAAAGCCCGAGCUUUUCAGGCCUGGAGGAGAAAAAGGUAAUGUAGGGAAGUGAAAGUCGCCCUUUCCACCUAUUCCUCGGGACCUCGCAAUUAUUUCAUCUUUUAUCAGAACGAUCUAAAUCGGGUUUUGUUCGUUGUGGCCACAAACAUAAUGAGCCUCAUAUGUGAAGUCUCUGCCAAGAAUUAGCAGAAUCAUGCUCUGAUGCUGCUGGAGGCAGGCAAGAGAUAUCUCUCUUUAUAGGGUCAACAUAUGCCAGCAACAGUGGCCACUUAUCCAGAUGAGGCCAGGAAGCACGAGCCAUGUACAAUUGUAAACUGGUCAUUUUUAAGAACAGGAAUUGAAUGAUAAAAUAGAGUCGGUCAAGCCUAUAGCAGUCGGUCACCAUGAUUUUCAGAAGACAACAACCAGUGUCUUUGUAUUAAGCUAUCUUAAGUUUUAAAGAAAGUAAAGCUAAGGGACAUCAUUACCUUUGCUCUUAACAUCUCAAAUGCUUAGCGUUACCUGUAAGUAUUAGGGGCAUUUUUAUGUUAUAUAAGAUGAUUUUGAAUCGUCAAA